rnacentral:rRNA from 1 species
AUUGAACGCUGGCGGCAGGCCUAACACAUGCAAGUCGAGCGAGUGGCGGACGGGUGAGUACUGUCUGGGAAACUGCCUGAUGGAGGGGGAUAACUACUGGAAACGGUAGCUAAUACCGCAUACCAUCAGAUGUGCCCAGAUGGGAUUAGAUAGUAGGUCGGGUAACGGCUCACCUAGGCGACGAUCCCUAGCUGGUCUGAGAGGAUGACCAGCGACACUGGAACUGAGACACGGUCCGGACGCCUACGGGAGGCAGCAGGGGGGGAUAUUGCACAAUGGGCGCAAGCCUGAUGCAUCCAUGCCGCGUGUGUGAAGAAGGCGUUCGGGUUGUAAAGCACUUUCAGCGGGGAGGCGUUACCCGCGGAAGAAGCACCGGCUAACUCCGUGCCAGCAGGCGCGGUAAUAC